CGGCCUUGGUCUCCUGCUUGCUGGGGGUCCAUCUCUUCGCCUUUCAUACCGUCUGCUUUCAUAUUUGGAUGUCCUCCGCUCUUUUGGUUGGUAGGUUGGGUAAGUGCAUGGAAUUAUCUCUCCGUUUAUGUAUUUAUCACCUGAAUUGUGAAAGGAUUGAGAUUUUUUAUUUAAGAAGCAACAACUAAUUGAUUAUGCAAAUAACCAGCUGCAGACAAUAAUGUUGAACUAACCCCCGUAGUCUUUGUUCUUGACAUCGAUGUAGGAAUCAGGAAGCACCCACAGAACGCCGGGUAAACCUACAGGUAAUAGAACAAUAGUUUGAACCAGGGCAAUCCAAAAAUGUUUAGACUUGGUUAAAUACUGAGGCAACCAGUAUAUUAGCAAAUACCCUUGAACUUCUCUGAUGUUUCCUCGUCGACAGUGCACUGGAAACCAGUGUAGGUGGUUGUGCUGAAGGCAUACAUGUUCUUCUUGGCUUCCUCCAUGCUGUGAUUGCAAACAUAUGCUCAGUAUCAAGAAAAUGAACUAAAGGCAGAAAAUUACAAAACUGUAGGCCUGGUUUAUAGUAUAGCAAUGCUGAUUUCAGACAUAGCACCGAUGAUAACUUCACCAACGUGCAGUGACCAGCAAAGAAUACCUAAACAAAUAAUCAACCAUUCCUUGUGUUUACGCAAGAAAUUUUAAUCCUUGUGAAUCGUCAAGCAUAAACUGUGCAACAUAUAGACAUGUCUACCAAUCUACUACACACUUGUUUCUUCAACAAAUUAUCAUGCAAAAUUUGCAACCACCUAUAGAAUGUAAAGCUUUUUUACAUUUUACCAAAAACGUGCGCUCCAAUUAAAAUUUCGACUAUCAUAAUUUACAAUCGAAACAAAAUUUAUUAUGUUUGAGUGAAGCAUGAAACAAACAUUUCUCUCGAGAUUACUCUACCGACUUAGUCAGUCAGUCAGUCAGUCCUUGCAAAUUGGCAACCAAACUAGGUGAGUCAAAGAGAGGUGGAGAUCUUGACAAUGAGGAUGAGAAAUUUUACAUAAUUAUACCUGCCAAGGACGGUGGCGAGGGUGUUGAGGUAGGUGUCGAUCAUCUGCUCCCGCGUCGGGGCGGGGUCCUUGGGGAACUCCAUCACGAUCAGCCAGUGGUUGUAGUCGC
rnacentral:lncRNA from 1 species